UACAGAGGGGGCAAGCGUUGUUCGGAAUUACUGGGCGUAAAGGGCGCGUAGGCGGCUUGUUAAGUCGGAGGUGAAAUCCCCGGGCUCAACCCGGGAACUGCGUCCGAUACUGGCAGGCUUGAAUCCGGGAGAGGGAUGCGGAGUUCCAGGUGUAGCGGUGAAAUGCGUAGAUAUCUGGAGGAACACCGGUGGCGAAGGCGGCAUCCUGGACCGGUAUUGACGCUGAGGCGCGAAAGCCAGGGGAGCAAACGGG
rnacentral:rRNA from 1 species